GGCCCUCGGAGCUCAUUAUCAUUGGUGAUGAGACUGCUCCUACAAAACCCGCAAUUAAGGGUAAAGGGAUUUUACAGGAGGAGGAGUCUGUUGCAUCACUAAAAGAGGCAUCUGCUCGGGGGUCACAACAAGUGACGCAGCAAGUUCGUAGCGUACCACCCAAGGGUCCUCCGAAGCC